rnacentral:sRNA from 1 species
UGCUUAACUCGUUAGGUGAGGCUCCUGGUUGAAAAUAGGCUGCUGCCCAAAAACGUCGAGAGACGCCAAUGGGUAUAACAGACAAUCCCGGCUUAAGGGAUGUCUAACGCAGCUGAUCCUGAAUUUUGGAUCUACGUCAUCCAGUGCCAAAGCUUGGUUACGAGGAGUGUGUAU